CCGGUCAAAGCAUUGAUCCAUCAGCGGUAUAUAUUCCGACUCGAUAACAACAUUCUCGUCAACCUUACUUACAUAUCAACCUUACUUUUUUAUCCUUUCUUUUUUAUUUUUUAUUUUUUUAUAAAAGGAUAGGAGAUUUUGAAUUCAAAUUUUUUAUUUAGAGAAUUUGGUAAUAUGUCAUCAGGUCAGACUCUUAGCUAAUUUUUUUAUCGCUUUAAUUUGUUGUUUCAAGUUAAAAAUAUGGUUAGAAUAGAAAAUAUAGUAAGGCUGGAAAUCCUAUUGUUAGGGGGAAAAUUCUCCCUAGAAGUUCGGCCCAAACCAAGCAAGCAUGGCACUCGGCCCAAGGCUAGACCUAAGCCCGUCUAGUUCCAGGCUAUAUAACAGCGGGUACCCCAGCCCAAGAGGAUGCGGGUCAAGCCGACGAGCCGGGUGGAUUGUGAUCUAGACACUCAACACCACUUUUGUCAGGGAAGAAGCAGCACGCCACCUCGAUGGGACAACACAAUCUGAUGCCUUCCUUAGGCCAAGUAGCAUUAAUUGGGCUCUGACAGGGGCCACUCGAGGAGGCAGAGCAUGAAGCUCUUAACCCUUGAGAUAGUUAUACGUAUCCUCUCGAGCACCAUAGAAAGGUAAGCUAAAAAAAGAACUCUCCAUCUCUCAAGAGUUUUCCUUUAGACAAGACUAACUUAAGCAUCAGAGGCUCUAUCCGGCGACCCCCCGGGCUACUAGAAUUGGGAGUACUAAUUUUGUGUGUGCAGGUAAAAGAAGGCCCGAACCCUCGAAAAGUCUGGCCCAAAGGUAUACGAAACAUGAUGUUAACACAUAUGAUAAAAAAGCUCCCAUAAUAUUAUAGAAUGAGGGCACUCCGCAUGACACUACAGCAAAUAAUGGAAGGACAAUUACAGAGUGAUCAUGAUUUACAACAAAAGGGUAUCACGGGUACCACUCAACAGCAGAGCACAGCACAAUCGAGUACAAGUUCUAAAAGCUAACAGUAGACAAAUUUGUUAUUGAUGUCUACGGUGAUUUGUAACCAACUCAAUUGUUUUUAUUCCUUUACAUCAUGUAUAAAUACCAACAGCUGUAGACAAACAAAUACAUUGAAAAACACAGUUUUCAGCAA